rnacentral:rRNA from 2 species
UACGUAGGUGGCAAGCGUUGUCCGGAUUUACUGGGUGUAAAGGGCGUGUAGGCGGAGCAGCAAGUCAGAAGUGAAAUCUCUGGGCUCAACCCAGAAACUGCUUUUGAAACUGUUGCCCUUGAGUAUCGGAGAGGCAGGCGGAAUUCCUAGUGUAGCGGUGAAAUGCGUAGAUAUUAGGAGGAACACCAGUGGCGAAGGCGGCCUGCUGGACGACAACUGACGCUGAGGCGCGAAAGCGUGGGGAGCAAACAGG